CAAAAAUCGAAUCUUUUCAUGGAGAAUGGACGACAGAGUGGAGUUUGCCAGUUGACAUUGGUUGUUCAGCAGACUAUGUUUUGGAAGAAGAACGAAAUUGUUGCUAGGUUUGCUCUCUACGUCUCUCUCGAUGUCAUAGUCGAAUGGAAUGGCAGAUACUAGACAAGACUCAGAGGGGAAGUCAUAGUAUUUAAUCUAUCAUAUAUCCUAGACAAGACUCCGACGGGAAGUAGUGUUUCCUCUGUCAUCCAAAUUAUUUCCCUUGCCCUGAAAGAGGCUGAGGAGGGAAGCUGGUUCCAUUUGUCAGGGAACUGAACUUGUUUCUUUUUUCUCAACUUAUCAUCAUCGAUCUCUUCCAAGUACUCUGCUCGAUAUGUAUGCAAUCCAAAUGUAUCGAUUCUCAAGGUAGCGUGUGGGGGCAAACCUUGGCACAAUGUAGCGCGUCAAGUCACAGAGAAACUUAGACCUUUGAGAUAUGCAACCUCAAUGCUUCAGAAUUCUGAUAGCACCUUAUUGUCUAGUCCAUGGAGCUAUGAAGCUUUCCACUGUAUUGCUGGCUGAAUCCACUUGUCAUGGUUCCGCUAGGUGCUUGGGCUGUUUAAGUAAAAGAAACUCUUCAUGUAACAUCUAGCAGUAGGUUAAUAGCCCUCACAUUUGCUUUUAUUUUUCAUAGAAAAGAAUAAUCAGUAUGCAAUUUAAUCCCUCUGCUGUGGUUGACUAAAACCUCCCUAUUUUUCCCAACUGUAUAAAGAUUGAUCAACAGGUUGUUAGUAUUUGACCUGAAUCUCUGUGAUCGACAGUUUCCACUCGAGUGGUGUGUGUGUGUGUGUGGCUUGUUCUGUUCACUUUUGCUCUUCAGAUAAUUUCAGCUGUUCAUUUGAUUAUUUUGUUCAAACUUACGAAUCAUAGGUAAUAUCUGAAAAAGUGACAUUCGACCAAUUGGGUAUUUAUUACCUGCAGUUGGCAUCUAAACUUGUAUUUCCUUUAUAUAUUUUUGAUUUUUUCCUAAAAUUCGUAUAUAGAUGUUGAAGUCAUACUAUGCUAACUUUGUUCCGAAUCUUAUUUUGCAGAUUAGUCUUUGUUCAGAGGCAGUCAUUCGUUGAUAACUUUCGAGAACAUUAGUUGAUUCUUCACAAGACAUUAGUUGGAAGGAGUACUCAAAGAAUCUGAUGCUUGUCUUAUCAAGAUGGCAGCGCUGCAGUUUGAUUCUUGCAAAUCAGAAAAGCUUUUUUUCUGGUCAGCUUUAGGCUGUCAAUGAAAUGGUAGAGAUUGGUACUGCAUCGAGGGAUCAGAUUCUCGCUCAGCCGAGCAAGAGGGAUAUGACUAGGAACAAAAUGAAGCAUGGACAUGACGCAGGAAUCUUGAAACCUAAUGCAGAAAGCACCUCAUAAUCCCAAUGUUGGAUGAAUGCAGGAUGUUGAUCGUGUCCUUGCCAAAAAGGGAUUUCAUUGUGGUUCAUGAAUGAUAUUAGCGGGUGAAGGCAUCAUCGAUAGUUUGGAGAACUUGUGGCGGCAGCAGAACAUUCAUGAAAUGACUCUGAUUAUUUUGUCCAGCAGCUGAAGUAGUUCAAAAAAAAUUCAGCAAUUUAGAAUAACAAUUAUGUAACAUGAAAACUCAAAAAGUGAUGAGUUUUCAUACAUUUUAAUCUACAAUCAGAUUGUUCAUAAAUAAGAAAAGAAAAAUCAUGAGAAAACAAAAAAGGGAAGAGAGG